rfam:Triticum aestivum genome assembly, contig: Triticum_aestivum_CS42_TGACv1_scaffold_622201_7DS
CAAGUACUCCCUCCGUCCGAAAAUACAUGUCAUUAAAAUGGACAAAAAAAGAUGUAUCUAAAACUAAAAUACAUCUAAAUACAUUCCUUUUUAUUCAUUCUGGUGAUAAAUAUUUUCGGACGGAGGGAGUAAAUU